AUGACCUCAUGCAUGAUGCAAUAAAUAUUAUAAUUAAAAUUUAAUUAAUUUAAUUUAUGGUCUUCCUAAAGAAUAAAUUCAUAAAAGAAAAAGAAAAGGAAAAAAAAAUACUUCAUCUUCUUAAAAAACGUGAACCCUCUCUCUCUCACCUCUCCCUCACCAAAACUCCAUGGAAGCUCAUUUUGAGCUUGAUCAAACCUUAAAUCCCAUCAUAGAAAGUUAAACUUCCAUCAUUAAAUCUUGAUUUCAAGUUUUGAUAGAGAACUUGACAACAAAAAGAAGAAAGGAAGAGGUUUUGAAGAGGUGAAAAUUCAAAGUAAGGUUAGUAAGCAAAUUUCCAUUUUUUAGUUUAAUUUCUAUGUUUUUGGUUCAAGUAGCUCAGAUUUUAACUUAAAAUUAAAAGAAAAUAAUUGUUGGGCCAUAACUUGGGUUAGGCAGGUCUAAAUGACUUGAAA
rnacentral:misc_RNA from 1 species